rnacentral:SRP_RNA from 1 species
GCCGGGCGUGGUGGUGCGUGCCUGUAAUCCCAGCUACUUGGGAGGCUGAGGCAGGAGAAUUGCUUGAACCUGGGAGGCGGAGGCUGCAGUGAGCCGAGAUUGUGCCACUGCACUCCAGCCUGGGCAACACAGCAAGACUCUGUCUCAA